GCUGGCGGCACGCCUAAUACAUGCAAGUCGAACGAAGUAGCAAUACUUAGUGGCAGACGGGUGAGUAACAUGUGGGUAUCUUCCCUUUGGUGAGGAAUAACACGAGGAAACUUGUGCUAAUACCUCAUAAGUCUUUACGGAGAAAGCUUUAUGCGCCAAUGGAUGAGCCCGCACUUGAUUAGUUAGUUGGUAGGGUAAUGGCCUACCAAGACUUUGAUCAAUAGCUGAUUUGAGAGGAUGAUCAGCCACAUUGGGACUGAGACACGGCCCAAACUCCUACGGGAGGCAGCAGUAGGGAAUCUUGCACAAUGGAGGAAACUCUGAUGCAGCGAUGCCGCGUGAGUGAAGAAGGCCCUUGGGUUGUAAAGCUCUUUCGUCGGGGAAGAAAAUGACUGUACCCGAAUAAGAAGGUCCGGCUAACUUCGUGCCAGCAGCCGCGGUAAUACGAAGGGACCUAGCGUAGUUCGGAAUUACUGGGCUUAAAGAGUUCGUAGGUGGUUAAAAAAGUUGGUGGUGAAAUCCCAGAGCUUAACUCUGGAACUGCCAUCAAAACUUUUUAGCUAGAGUAUGAUAGAGGAAAGCAGAAUUUCUAGUGUAGAGGUGAAAUUCGUAGAUAUUAGAAAGAAUACCAAUUGCGAAGGCAGCUUUCUGGAUCAUUACUGACACUGAGGAACGAAAGCAUGGGUAGCGAAGAGGAUUAGAUACCCUCGUAGUCCAUGCUGUAAACGAUGUGUGUUAGACGUUGGAAAUUUAUUUUCAGUGUCGCAGCGAAAGCAAUAAACACACCGCCUGGGGAGUACGAC
rnacentral:rRNA from 1 species